GACGAACGCUGGCGGCGGGCUUACCACAUGCAAUUCGAACGAAAGGGCCCUGCUUUUGGGGGUUCCUGGGGUGGGAACCGGGGGGGUAACCCGUAGGUACCCUGCCCUUGACUUGGGGAUAACUUCAGAAACCUGGGCCUAAUCCCGGAUAGGACCUCCUGCUGCAUGGGGGGGUUUGAAAAGUUUCGGCGGUUGGGGAUGGACUCGCGGCUUAUCAGCUUGUUGGUGGGGUAGUGGCUUACCAAGGCUUUGACGGGUAGCCGGCCUGAGAGGGUGACCGGCCACAUUGGGACUGAGAUACGGCCCAGACUCCUACGGGAGGCAGCAGUGGGGAAUAUUGCACAAUGGGCGGAAGCCUGAUGCAGCAACGCCGCGUGCGGGAUGACGGCCUUCGGGUUGUAAACCGCUUUCGCCUGUGACGAAGCGUGAGUGACGGUAAUGGGUAAAGAAGCACCGGCUAACUACGUG
rnacentral:rRNA from 1 species